rnacentral:rRNA from 1 species
CAAAGAUUAAGCCAUGCAUGUCUAAGUAUAAGCAAUUAUACCGCGAAACUGCGAAUGGCUCAUUAAAUCAGUUAUCGUUUAUUUGAUAGUACCUUACUACUUGGAUAACCGUGGUAAUUCUAGAGCUAAUACAUGCUAAAAAUCCCGACUCACGGAGGGAUGUAUUUAUUAGAUUAAAAACCAAUGCCCUUCGGGGCUCCUUGGUGAUUCAUAAUAACUUCUCGAAUCGCAUGGCCUUGCGCCGGCGAUGGUUCAUUCAAAUUUCUGCCCUAUCAACUUUCGAUGGCAGGGUCUUGGCCUGCCAUGGUUACAACGGGUAACGGAGGGUUAGGGCUCGACCCCGGAGAAGGAGCCUGAGAAACGGCUACUACAUCCAAGGAAGGCAGCAGGCGCGCAAAUUACCCAAUCCCGACUCGGGGAGGUAGUGACAAUAAAUACUGAUACAGGGCUCUUUUGGGUCUUGUAAUUGGAAUGAGUACAAUUUAAAUCCCUUAACGAGGAACAAUUGGAGGGCAAGUCUGGUGCCAGCAGCCGCGGUAAUUCCAGCUCCAAUAGCGUAUAUUAAAGUUGUUGCAGUUAAAAAGCUCGUAGUUGAACCUUGGGCCUGGCUGGCCGGUCCGCCUCACCGCGUGCACUGGUUCGGCCGGGCCUUUCCCUCUGGGGAACCCCAUGCCCUUCACUGGGUGUGCGGGGGAACCAGGACUUUUACUGUGAAAAAAUUAGAGUGUUCAAAGCAGGCCUAUGCUCGAAUACAUUAGCAUGGAAUAAUAGAAUAGGACGUGUGGUUCUAUUUUGUUGGUUUCUAGGACCACCGUAAUGAUUAAUAGGGACAGUCGGGGGCAUCAGUAUUCCGUUGUCAGAGGUGAAAUUCUUGGAUUUACGGAAGACUAACUACUGCGAAAGCAUUUGCCAAGGAUGUUUUCAUUAAUCAGGAACGAAAGUUAGGGGAUCGAAGACGAUCAGAUACCGUCGUAGUCUUAACCAUAAACUAUGCCGACUAGGGAUCGGACGAUGUUAUUUUUUGACUCGUUCGGCACCUUACGAGAAAUCAAAGUCUUUGGGUCUUG